rnacentral:tRNA from 1 species
UGGUGUGUAACUCAGAAGGUAGAGUAAUAGGCUUUUAACCUGAAGGUUGUUGGUUCGACUCCAAUCAUACCAA